AUUGAACGCUGGCGGCAUGCCUUACACAUGCAAGUCGAACGAGUGGCGGACGGGUGAGUAAUGUCUGGGAAACUGCCUGAUGGAGGGGGAUAACUACUGGAAACGGUAGCUAAUACCGCAUACCAUCGGAUGUGCCCAGAUGGGAUUAGCUAGUAGGUGGGGUAAAGGCUCACCUAGGCGACGAUCCCUAGCUGGUCUGAGGGGAUGACCAACAAAACUGGAAAUUGGACACGGGCCAGACUCCUACGGGAGGGAGCAGUGGGGAAUAUUGCACAAUGGGCGCAAGCCUGAUGCAGCCAUGCCGGGUGUAUGGAGAAGGCCUUCGGGUUGUAAAGUAAUUUCAGCGGGGAGGCGUUACCCGCAGAAGAAGCACCGGCUAACUCCGUGCCAGCAGCCGCGGGAAUUCC
rnacentral:rRNA from 1 species